GCUGGUAUGGUAUAGUGGUUUGAGCGUUGGACUAUGACUCUGGAGACCAGGGUUCGAUUCCCCGCUUGGUCA
rnacentral:tRNA from 1 species